rnacentral:tRNA from 1 species
UCCCGUGGUGUAGUGGUUAACAUGCCUGCCUGUCACGCAGGAGAUCGCCGGUUCGUCCCCGGUCGGGACCGCCA